rnacentral:rRNA from 1 species
CCUACGGGUGGCUGCAGUGGGGAAUAUUGGACAAUGGGGGGAACCCUGAUCCAGCCAUGCCGCGUGUGUGAAGAAGGCCCUCGGGUUGUAAAGCACUUUCAGUGGGGAAGAACGCCUGGUGGUUAAUACCCAUCAGGAAAGACAUCACUCACAGAAGAAGCACCGGCUAACUCCGUGCCAGCAGCCGCGGUAAUACGGAGGGUGCGAGCGUUAAUCGGAAUUACUGGGCGUAAAGCGCGCGUAGGUGGCUUGAUAAGCCGGUUGUGAAAGCCCCGGGCUCAACCUGGGAACGGCAUCCGGAACUGUCAAGCUAGAGUGCAGGAGAGGAAGGUAGAAUUCCCGGUGUAGCGGUGAAAUGCGUAGAGAUCGGGAGGAAUACCAGUGGCGAAGGCGGCCUUCUGGACUGACACUGACACUGAGGUGCGAAAGCGUGGGUAGCAAACAGGAUUAGAUACCCGUGUAGUC